rnacentral:rRNA from 1 species
CAAUAGCGUAUAUUAAAGUUGUUGCGGUUAAAAAGCUCGUAGUUGGAUUUCUGCUGAGGACGACCGGUCCGCCCUCUGGGUGAGUAUCUGGCUCGGCCUUGGCAUCUUCUUGGGGAACGUAACUGCACUUGACUGUGUGGUGCGGUAUCCAGGACUUUUACUUUGAGGAAAUUAGAGUGUUUCAAGCAGGCGCACGCCUUGAAUACAUUAGCAUGGAAUAAUAAGAUAGGACCUUGGUUCUAUUUUGUUGGUUUCUAGAGCUGAGGUAAUGAUUAAUAGGGAUAGUUGGGGGCAUUCGUAUUUAACUGUCGGAGGUGAAAUUCUUGGAUCUGUUAAAGACGGACUACUGCGAAAGCAUUUGCCAAGGAUGUUUUCAUUGA